AUUGAACGCUGGCGGCAGGCCUAACACAUGCAAGUCGAGCGAGCGGCGGACGGGUGAGUAAUGUCUGGGAAACUGCCUGAUGGAGGGGGAUAACUACUGGAAACGGUAGCUAAUACCGCAUACCAUCAGAUGUGCCCAGAUGGGAUUAGCGAGUAGGUGGGGUAACGGCUCACCUAGGCGACGAUCCCUAGCUGGUCGGAGAGGAUAACCAGCCAAACUGGAACUGAGACACGGUCCGGACUCCUAAGGGAGGCAGCAGUGGGGAAUGUUGCACAAUGGUCGAAAGCCUGAUGCAGCCAUGCCGCGUGAGUGAAGAAGGCCUUCGGAUUGUAAAACACUUUCAGCGGGGAGGCGAUACCCACAGAAGAAGCACCGGCUAACUCCGUGCCAGCAGCCGCGGUAAUUC
rnacentral:rRNA from 1 species